rnacentral:lncRNA from 10 species
AUCUCAUAGAGUUUACAGUCCCUUUUGCAGCUAGAGCUGUGUGUGAUUCCUUUUUCAGAUCUGGUUGUUAAUCUCAAAGUAAUCUCAAAGUUACCAUUACUCCUGUGGUCCAGUUGGAAGCACAGUCUCAAUGUGGAUCAUGAAACAAAGGCUGUGAUGGAUGCUGCAGUGUUCACAAGACACGGUUGGUUCUGUAGAAUCAGUGCCUGAAAUAGGAAUUCAGGUGA